UAUUCAUAUGGUAGAAAAAAG
ensembl:piRNA 21ur-6417 ncRNA